CAUGAUCGAUUUGUUGCAGGAAACACGGCGAGCUUCAAACCAGACUGGAAUACAAACAUAAAACUGUCAUUGAUAGUUGGAGGAAACAUAGCUAUCAAGUUUAUUUUCCAUACGUAUUCAUCGAACAUUUAGGCGAACAUGCUUGAAAACAACAGCUUUUGCAAGCAGGAAUAAUAAUGUCCAUCGUGACAGUGCAACUUGGACAAUGUGGCAACCAGGUAGGCCAAGAGUUGUUCGAGGUGAUCAGCAAUGAUGCAAAUGAUACGCAAAGAAAGGUUUACAGUGAAUGCAGCAGUGAGCGUUUCUUCAAUGAGACUGCAAAUAGAGAACUCGUGGCAAGGUCAGUGCUGAUUGACAUGGAACCCAAAGUCAUCUCACAGAGUAUUGCAAAGACUGGCAAAUCUGGGAAGUGGAGAUAUGGGGACCGUUCACACUUCAGUCAGAAACAGGGUUCUGGAAACAACUGGGCAAAUGGAUACUGUGUCCAUGGACCACGUCAUGAGGAGGUAGUGAUGGACAUUGUGAGGAGGGAGGUGGAGCACUGUGACUGUCUGGCAGGAAUCGUGGCCAUGAUGAGUGUGGCAGGGGGCACAGGGUCAGGGGUGGGCACAUACGUUACUCAGUGUCUCCGGGACACCUACCCAAACUCCUUCAUCCUCAACCACCUGACAUGGCCCUAUGGCACUGGAGAGGUGAUAGUCCAGAACUACAACUCUGUGCUCACACUGUCACACCUCUACCAGCUCUCAGAUGCCAUUCUGGUUCAUGAAAAUGACACGGUUCACAAGAUCUGUGCUCAGCUCAUGAAUAUCAAACACAUAUCAUUCAGGGACGUCAACAAAGUCAUCGCCCACCAGCUAGGGAGUGUUCUGCAGCCUGCACUCACUGGUGACUCCCAUGGUAUCUACAAUAGAAACCCCAUAGGUCAACUGAUGAGCAGCCUGGUGUGUCACCCAGAGUACAAGCUUCUCAGUGUGUGCAACAUUCCCCAGGUGUCCAGCUCCUCUAUGGCUUACAGCAUGUUCACCUGGCCGGGCCUGCUCAAACAUCUACGUCAGAUGCUCAUUGCCAACUCCAAAAUGGAGGAAGGCAUCGACUGGCAGGUGCGAGCCCCCUCUCUCCAGCCUGAAGGGACAGAGAGGACCGGGAGUCACAGACGACCAGGCUUCAACACCUCCCUGGCCAACCUGCUCAUACUGCGGGGAAAGGAUGUGAACGAUGCAGAGAUAAGUGGAUUUCAGCAUCCGAGUCUAUAUACCCCCUGGCUUCCAGCAGAUGAGGCUUUCAGCAUGUGGAAAACCCCAGUCCCGUUUAACAAGUAUGAGAAGUCUGCUAUACUGGUCAGCAACAGUCAGACUCUGUUGAGGCCUCUGGACAACAUGGUGGGGAAAGCCUGGAACAUGUUUGCCUCCAGGGCCUACAUUCAUCAAUACACUAAGUUUGGGAUCUCAGAGGAGGAUUUCUUGGAUAGCUUCACAUCUCUUGAACAGGUCAUCUCUAGCUACAGUCAACUUUGAUGCUACGGUCUGCUUUGGACCAGUACGAUACUGUUUGGAUAGGACGAAAACCAGGAUUCACUCAACUGCAAAUUUGGACAAUGCACUUUCAAGUGUACCUCUGCUGCCGACUCUGUUGUCGUCGCUUGGCGUAGCUCUGAGCCAUGGAGUUGAUGAUGGAGAAGAUAAAGUAACAGACCAUGACCAGAACCACCUUCUCAAAGACCCAUGACAGCCAGUUCUCAGUCUGCACAGAGAGACAUGCAUACAGUGGAAUAUUACUCUUGACGAACACGAAUGCAUUACAAUUUGUAUUAUCUUGGCAAUCAAUAAAAUCACAUGCUUUGUCUCGACUUAGGAAGGAUGGAUGAUGGUAAUAGUGCUCUUACCGCCGGGGUGCCAGCGCCAGUGUGGUGGUGGAGUUUACUCCUCUGGGCCUCCAGGUACUCACUGAAAGGCUUCUGUAUGGAGGGACCUACCCUCGGCAGAGACCUGACACAGUGGCAGGGCAAGGAAAUCCACAGGCAAGGGAAAAGAGGGAGGGAAAGACAGACAACAUUAUAUCCCAGAGUACUUACCAUAUCAGCAGUAUCCCUUCACAUGGUAAAAUAAUGAGGCUUUGUCGAGGGAACCCGUGGUCCAUAGGACCAGGGUUUAAAGAGAGCAGUCUAUUGCUCAUGAUGUCAAGAGUUCCAAUUUCUAUGUUUCUAGUUAGGCAUCACGUCUAGCUGGGAGUUCCCACUGCCAGUGUAGUGGCUGAGAGCACACAGCAGAGUGAAGUGAGGCAGUCCUCAUCUCUUAUUUAUUCCUGAGAUCCCUAUAAGAAACCAGUCUGAGCCCAAUAACCAGGAAGUGACUCAAUAUGCUGUCAUCACAGCCUUAUGGGUGGAAACAGAUCAAACUAGACGUGUUCAUCAAUAUGACUGUCCAUAUGGGAGGGAGAGCAAAGGAUUAGAUCACUGUGUGGGCCCCUCAGUUCAUCAGAGCUCUUUACAUUAUAGUUACAGGGAAUGCAGACAAAUUGAUUGGAAGAGAACCCUCAGACACCACAACUUGAUGUACCAGAGUAACACCACAAUAAUUCAUAGUUGACAGUACUAUACCAAAAUAAUUGGUAUAAUUUAAUCAAUGUAUCACAACCAUCAUUAAAUAAAAUAUACAAACAUGGUUACAGUUUUUUUUUUUUAUGCAGGUGUUAAUAUAAACUUCAUCUAAAGCUUAACUAGACAGAUUCAAAACAAUUUACUAUCGGGGUAAAAAGUUAAUUGUAAUUGCUGAUCUUAAACAAAGGGAUAUGGCAUGCCCAUUCCCAGGCUAACUUUGAGUGACUCACUCAGCCACACACAAACUGCUGCAAUCAUCAACAGUUCCGAUUCAACGUUCAAGCACCAGUGUAACACAUAGCGAGUCAGACCAGUCAAACAAUUGCAAUGAUAGCAAGCAAUUGUUCUUUCUCACGCGACUCAUUUUAACUGUAAAUAAGAUGGCACUAUAAACUGAUCAUUAGUUGUAAGAUUUGUAUUUUAUUUGUUCAUGAUAAUUUAAAAAAUUGGAUGAGAAGAAAUAGUCAAGGAAGAGCUGAAGAUUUAAGCUCAUUAUGUUGGAUGUGUUAAAUGGAAGUGAUGAUUUAUUUUUCUUUCAUACAAUGGCUUGCGAAAAAAUGUACCCCCCCUUGGAAUUUUUCCCUUUUUGUUGCCCUACAACCUGGAAUUAAAAUGUAUUUUUUGUGG